GCAUGUCUCCUGGCUUCGAUCUUUUCUCCCUUCUUCCCUGCUAAUUUCUGCUUCUCUGAACCAAAGUAGUAGACUGGCGUUACUUUUCAGAAAGUGCUUCCUUCUUGGGAGAACAAUUGAAAGUGCGUAGCAUAGUAAAGCAAUUCAAUCGCAUAAACUGCAUCUGAAAAGUACAUACAACUUGGAUCUGAAAAGUACAUACAACUUCCCUCUGUUAUAGAAUUUGUUUUACCUAGGCCUUUUCCACGUAGUUUCUUCGAAACUGCAGUGGGUCCUGAGUAGCGGCGAAAGUUUUCUAAGAUGGCAUUCACUUUGCAGCAUGAUGUGGAUAUGAACACAACAAAGAUCUGGAUAUGAACACAACAAAGAUCACCACCAUCAGCGUCACCUGCGAACCAGAAAAAGCGAAUUCCAACGCGCAUGGCGUUGAAGCUCCCUCCACUGUGGAUCAUGCUGCUUCGACAUUGCCAACGCAUGUCGCAAGCCCUAGUCGAUCCUCAGAUUCUCAACAAAGGUGCGGAUCUCCCGAGAAGCAAAGCGCCUCUUUCCUCCUGCCGGAUCUCAACAUGAUGCCUGAUCUCAACAUGAUGCCGUCCGAAGACGAUCCUCUCUCUGAAGCAUUGAAGGGCAUGAGUAGCGGAGAAACACUAGAAACACUCCAGGUGUGUGUCAACUGAAGCGAGCGGUUAAAACCAUGCUCGUUUUAUGUUGCUGUCCGAUUCGUAUAUGCUGUUUUUUGAUGAUGCAUUCUAGUAAGAAGAGGAUCUACUCCAAACUGCCUUACCUGGAGACGAUCUAGGCAAGAAAAGCAGGGGAUCAUAAGUCAACGUCAGCACGGAAGGAGAUUCC
rnacentral:lncRNA from 1 species